GAACGGGAAAACAGGGGCAACUCUGUGAGUACAGUGGCGUACGGGUGAGUAACACGUGACUACCUACCCUCGAGUGGGGGAUAACCCCGGGAAACCGGGGCUAAUACCGCAUAACAUCGCAAGAUCAAAGAAGCAAUCCGCUUGAGGAGGGGGUCGCGGCUGAUUAGCUAGUUGGUGAGGUAACGGCCCACCAAGGCUAUGAUCGGUAGCCGGCCUGAGAGGGCGCACGGCCACACUGGAACUGAAACACGGUCCAGACUCCUACGGGAGGCAGCAGUGGGGAAUUUUGCGCAAUGGGGGAAACCCUGACGCAGCAACGCCGCGUGGAGGAUGAAGUCCCUUGGGACGUAAACUCCUUUCGACCCGGACGAUAAUGACGGUACGGGUGGAAGAAGCACCGGCUAACUUCGUG
rnacentral:rRNA from 1 species